rnacentral:rRNA from 1 species
UACGAAGGGUGCUAGCGUUGUUCGGAAUCACUGGGCGUAAAGCGCGCGUAGGCGGCUUUUCAAGUCAGGGGUGAAAUGCCAAGGCUUAACCUUGGAACUGCCUUUGAAACUGUAAAGCUGGAGUGUCGGAGGGGAUAGCGGAAUUCCUAAUGUAGAGGUGAAAUUCGUAGAUAUUAGGAGGAACACCGGUGGCGAAGGCGGCUAUCUGGACGACAACUGACGCUUAGGCGCGAAAGCGUGGGGAUCAAACAGG